UGCCAGCAGCCGCGGUAAUACGGAGGGUCCAAGCGUUAUCCGGAUUCAUUGGGUUUAAAGGGUCCGCAGGCGGAAAGAUAAGUCAGUGGUGAAAGCCUACAGCUCAACUGUAGAACUGCCAUUGAUACUGUUUUUCUUGAAUAUAGAUGAAGUGGGCGGAAUGUGUCAUGUAGCGGUGAAAUGCAUAGAUAUGACACAGAACACCGAUUGCGAAGGCAGCUCACUAAACUAUUAUUGACGCUCAUGGACGAAAGCGUGGGGAGCGAACAGGAUUAGAUA
rnacentral:rRNA from 1 species